GAGGAAAUAAUAGAAUAUGGGCUUCAAACGCGUAACAAGCUCGACCCGGGAACCUUCCUUUUUCUUGCCUCUUGCCGAUGCUUCUGCAACUCUUUCAUCAUUUUUUUCAUGUGCUUUCAGGUAUGUAUAAAUAAUCAAACAAAAUCUUAAUUACUCCAUUCUCAUGCUUUCUUCUUUCUGGUGUUUAUGAUACAAUGCUAAUUUUGUACCUUUGGAUUGCAUACAUGUACGACAUAUUUGGUUUUGAUUAUCAAUUUCCUACACUUUACCUUAAGCUGCUGGUGUCACUGUGAUCUUCAUGAAAAUUAUUAAUUUAAAUUGUCGAUAACAAAGUGAUGGUAAUAGGGUGCUGUGUGAUUCUUUUGAGGACCCAUUAGCUGAAUAGUUUAGGAUCUUAAUUGAACAAAGAGUGAACAGGAAUUUUGCGAUUUCCCUACAAUGUGUUAUGUUAUAUGUCCUAUAUCACCUAUAUAUAUUAAAAAUUUUACUUUUUAAUCUUGGGCUUUUGUUAGAGGUGAAGAUAGUUUGCAUUAAUUUGUUCCAUUUGCGCUUUUAGGCAGGUAUUUUCUAUGAUGUUUAGUGAUUAGAAGUAUGUGCUGAAAGAAUAAAUUAGAUGAACACAUUCGACUAAAACCAUGUAAUUAAGUACUGUCAUCUUGCGUUAUUAAUUAUUAAAAUAAGAUGGUGGAAUACUAUUUACGUUGAACCUCUUGUCUUUCCAGUAAUACCAAUAGUAGUAGAAGAAGAUCAUGACUUAGGUAACCAGUUUCUUGAUUGCUGGACUAUAAUUAGCACCAGAUAGAUUUAUGUUCCUUUUUAUCCCCCGACCCGGACCUUUCAUUCUCUUAUUAACAAGUAAAUAGUUGGCUCCCCAGACUCCAGAGUAACUUGAACGCUACCUUCACCCAUCACUGUUGUGAGCCUGAUCUCUUUCUCAAGAAUUCUUUCAAGAUCUAUCAUAACCAUUUCCAUAUUCGGUCUCCCUUUUCCUGGAAGAGCUAUGCAUCGUAGUGUCAAUCUAAUAAAGUCCUUUAUUCCCUCAGCGGUGAAGCUCCCGACAAGCCGGCGGUCUGUGAUACUGUUUGAAUUUAGGUGCGUCUCCACCUUCACAAAUUUUAGAAAGAACAAUGAAUUUGAAGAAUCAAUGGCCUAUAUAAUAAGACUGUUACAAAAGACAGUGUAAGACUCUAUUAAGUGUUUAACUUUAGUUGGUUUUAGAGAAUGGAGCAGUCAAGUCUUCCCUAAUGUGUUGUACUGUCAUAUGACAUCUACAUACUUAAAAGUGGAUACAUAAAUUUAAAAAGCUGUUCAAAAGUGGACAAGAGGAUAUAUAUAUAUAUAUAUAUAUAUAUAUAUACAUGUAUAUAUUCUCAGUACCCAUUGAAGCAUACUUCCAUCUGAUCUGCAGGAAUCAAUAUGUGAAGCCUCCUGUCCUAUUAUAAGCUCCAAAAGAAAUACCCCAAAGCUGUACACGUCACUCAUCUCGGUAAAUAUCCCUGUUUGAACUGCCCUAAACAUUGUGAUAGAUGAUAAAUCAAAUUUAGGUAAAUACUAACUUGAAAGCAAGUAUAAUAAAGCAAGAAAAGAAUUAGUUUACUCUGGAUCUUCGAAAACAUUGACUCUGGUUGAGCGAGAUGAUGGACCUGCAUCUUCAAUUUUCUCUAGUAGUAUUGAAACUCCUGUAUCUGCUACGUUAGGAAUGAAGUUCUCAUCAACCAAAACAUUUGCUGUCUUGAAGUUACGGUGCACUAUAGGAAUUUGUUGGCUAUGUAAAUGGCAUAAACCUGCAUCAGAAGAACUUUUCAAAUUAUGGCCUGUUCUUCAUCUCAUGGUACAUAAUCAGUUUGUUUGUUGAUACCUCUAGCUGCUCCAAGAGCUAUGGACAGCCUCUGCUUGAACUCGAGCUUUGUUGCUGAAUCUUUUCCACUGGCUGUCAAACGAUGAAUCUCUAUAACAUGACAUGUAACUAAUAAGUAAUUAUGAGCUACUUCUCUCAACGAGUCAUACCAUAUAAAUGACUGCACAUGCUGCCAUUUGGUAAAUAUUCAUACACCAAUAUUUGGUUUCCGCUGUCCUGACAGUAACCUAGAAGAGAAACUAGGUUUCGGUGCCAAAUCCCAGACAAGUAAGCUACCUGUUAUUCCAAAUUGGAAAGUUUAGAAUUAUGAAGAAUACUAGGAAGAAAAGACUUUCAAUGCAAUGAUAAUUGAGAUUUGAGAAGCUGUUGGUAAGAGCUGGAGAUUUUUAUGUUAUUAUUUAUUGUCUCUUGGCAAUGUAGAAGUGAUUCAUUUCCCUUUUACAUGCACUCAUAAGAAUAAUUUUAUUUGGAUCCACAAGCUGAUGAGUUUGUUCAAACAAAUGUUUGUAAUCUUUAGUUGAUCAACGGUAGAAAACAUGAAAUAUUUAAAUUCUAAACAAAUACCUCUCUACAGAAUAAAACAUGAACAUACACAUCUUGAGCUAAAUGCCAUAUUAAAUUGUGUAUAUUUGAUAAUGAUUUUCAGAUUUAAAUUUGUUAUACCUCUUCAACAAAUUCUUGUUGAGGGACACCAGUACGCCUUUUGAUAGCCACAAAAAUCCCAUCACAAAGCAAUCCUUUAUAAACUAUACCAAAACUUCCGUAUCCAAUGAGAUUGCUCUCAUCGAAGUGGUUGGUAGCUUGCUCUAACUCUUCCAUUGUGAAUUGGCUUGCUUCAUGUGGUCCAGUCAGAGGAUGGGCUACAGAAGAACUGGGCUCACCUCUUUUUUGUUUCUCCACUGUAAUAUAGUUGAGCAGGAAUUAACAAAACUAGACAUAGAAUUAUAUACUAGUUAUCUUUAUGUCUAAUUUUGUGACCCCUUGCCUACUGCAUAUGGAUCUGAAGAACCUGUAUCUGAAUUCUUGUUUGAGAGCUUUUUACACUUUAACAUGCAAAACCAUAUAACUCCAAUGACUAUUCCCAACAAUGCUAUAGCUCCUGCUGCACCUCCAAGUGUAACUGCAAAUGAUCGUGACAUCUGGUAUGAUCUCCACGUGGUUCACUGAAGACCUGAACAUUUGAAGCUGCUAUAGCGAAAAAGAAAAAAUUAUUCGACUGAAGUAUCUAAAAAACGUAAAACUUAUAAUCAAUCUUUACAUACUAGAGCCAAAAAUAGGAUUGCAGUUAAGUACCAGUUUAUACAAUUGGUGAGGUCAGGAACUCCAGAUCAAGUGGUCCUCUUUUAUACGAUGGCUUUGUGCUGUUCUCCCUACUCAAGUGCUUAUUGCGUCCGCUUCUUCUCUGAAAUGUUAAAUGGCUGAUCUCAAGUCUCCACUUGGGAAGUUGUAUUAUAGGAAGAACCCCAAGGGGUUAUUAACUCAUGUGAUAGUGAGUCUAGUGAUAAGUACCUUUCAAGGCGUAGGUGAUGAGUUCAAUACUUUGAAAAGGCAUGGCCACCCGCACAUAGUUUAAUAUGGGAUUACCAGGUGUGUGUUGUUGGGUGGGUAUUACGUGCACCUAGUGGUUUAUCAUGUGCACAACCUCAUCGUGAAAAAAGACGUAUAGUAAGGAUCUAUGCUGUCAAUUCUGAUAAAGAGAUCAGAGGACAACUCACUGUCUUUCAUAGUCCCCCACUGUACUGCCUAGUUUUCAGCAUAUCAUUGCGAUCACAUAGUGAAUCCUAAGAGAGCAUCAUUGCUUUCUUGCAUGACAAACCCUUGCUAUGUUUUCUUUGUUGGGUAGGGGUUGAUUCCACAGGACAGUUGAAGAAUUUAAGCUGAAGUCACUACAUUUCUUUUCCUGACAUAGACCAGUUGGUCAUAUAUUUUUUCAUGAAUUUCAUAUAUACUCCUAACAAUUUUCCUAUUUCUAAAUUUUAGUACCUUGGGUAGGAGCAGCUAUUCAUCAAAAAAAUUAGUUUCUCCUCAUCAUAUAGAAAAUAUUCUACUGUGUAAAAGGAUAGUGAUAUUUGAACAUACCUGUAGAGAUUCUGAACUUGUAUUAUCGUGCUUUGUAUAAACUUUGUGGAAUUUUCUUACUUAAAAAUGUGAGCUGCUGUUAGUAAACCGUAAAGAUUUUUUUCUAGGACAAGGAUGGAUUGCCACUGGAAUUCAAUAUUGUUGAAGGUUAUCAGAAGAGAGGUAGUUAUCAGACUAUCUUAUCAAUUAGAAGUCUCUUUCUUCAGUUCACUCUAUCUGCCAUUUGCCUCUUUCACCAUCUGAUAUGGAAAAAAUAGAGUGAGUUUCGAUAUUUUUGUAGUGGGAUGGGACUAUUCCUCAUAGAUGAUCAUGACAACUGAACCAACAAGACAAUAACAGAUAAAAAGUGAUGCAGGCAUUUAACAGAUAAAAACUUAUUUUGUUGGGAAGUGUGGAUUUCAUCUAGGGUUUAUGAUGCAUGGCCUGAUUAAAAAAGUUUUCUUUCUUACUAAUGUUUAGUUUCUUAAGCUGAAUAUCCUAUAAGAGAUAUAUUUUCUUUUUUAGUCCGUUCUAAAAUUUAAGAUACGAAUUUAUUUUCAGAGAAUAAAAUCACGUAAAAUUCCUAGCAUGCCAUCUUUUAGAUUUCACUGAUUUUUAGCAAAUGUUAAGGAUAUAUGUUUAGAAAAGUAGAGUUCUCGUUUUAGAAAUGUAUCUAUAAUUUUAGAAUGGGGGGAGUAGGAUUUUCCGUAACUAUGGUACCUUAAAAUACAAGAGUAUCAUUGAGAGUACUAUGUAUAGCAGCAUAGCAGCAGAAUUUGUUUUUUACUUUGCUGGAAAAGAAGUAGCUUAUGCAUGUGGUCCUCAGUCCAGCUAAUCUCCUUUCCUUUCACCCCCAUUAUUUCUUCUUCCACUUCAAGGUUUUGCUUGGAAUAGGUAAAACUUGACUGCAUUGUGGGGACUGUAAACUCAACUUCACAGCCAUUCUUUGGGCUCUCUACUUCUUCAAAUGUUGCUACUGGAAAUCUUGAAUGCUUGAUUUGUCAAUGUUGGAUCCAGUCAAGUGGAUGACAACCUCAUGAUCAAGUACAUUUGUUGUUUGUGCCAUUUCACCUUGUAGAAGCAUUUUAUAUCUUGUUUUUUAUGUGGGGACAAAUUUGUGGUGCUUUACACUAACUAACUAACUAGGCUAUUUUAUUCAGAUUACCUAAUAUGUAUCUCUAUUAUCCUAUGUUUUGAACUUUUGAUAGCAGGGACUAUUUGAAGUCUUGCAUGUAUAAUAAAUGUCUGCUUUUUUCUUUUUUACUUCCAAUUAGAUUAAGAUGGAUUAAAUGUGAUGCUGAUGAUGUGAGUUAAAGGGUUUUUGUGCAGGCAGCCGAGCAAGAGCAACCUUCAUUUUCAUAAUUACCAUCUCGACGACUAGUGUCAUGUCCAUGUGAAUCCAAUUUGAAACUGUAGAGGUUCUGAAUUACCCUUCUGCAUGGAGAAUAAGCUCCAUUACAUUGAUGAGCUUAUGAUGUUUUUGGGGGACUAUGGUGAUUUGAAGGAAGUAAGCCGUGGGGUUAGUUUGGUCAUUCAUGGUGGAGUGAGUCUCGAGACUUUAGAGAACUUAUGGGGCAGAUUGACUAGUUUGCCCUUUGGAAGAAAAAGAAAUUCUAGGGAUGUCUUUUGAGCAGAGGGGUGAAGAUGUUCAAAUUGCCACUUCAGAAGGGUAAAAGGCCUGUAAUAUGUUGUGUAAUUUUCGAGUCAAAAUAUUAAAUAUGGCAAUUUCAAACUAUUUCUCCUAUUUAUUGCACAGAUAUAAUUACAAUUACAAUUUUGUUUUACAUUUACAAAUGGGGAAAGUCCUCUUAUAUAAUCUCUUAGAUCAUACAACCAAUUACUAAAGAUCAAAUAUAAUAGAAGGUAUAAAAGAAGAUUAUGAUAAAUGUCAUGUAAUGUAGCCAAUUGAACAUCUUCACGUAAUAUAAUCAUGUCAAAAAUGUGUGAUUUGGCUCCCCUCCAAUACGUCUUUUCAUGUAAAUUCAUCUAUUAUUUUUUUUUCAAAAUAUUUGACGUUCUACGCUCCCAAUAAUAUUUUACCUAUUUGUUUCUACCACCAUUAAUGCAUAUUUUCUCUGUUUUCAAAUUCUCUCAAACAAACACACACACUUCAAACAGUAAUGGUGAAACUCUCAAGCCCUAACAAUGGCGGAGAACCUGUCGAAGCUCACCGUCUCAGCGAAGAUAUGGACAACACUUGUUCCACUCCUUACGAGAUCUGAUCUGAUGAAGAUAUGGACAGCACCUGUUCCCUAAAUAUGAUAGAUUUGUAGGUUUCUUCUUCGUCUGGGUCCCACCUUCUAAACAUGAAUAUGAUUUGCAGAGAGAUAAGAAUCUCUUAAACAUGAAUAUGAUUUGCAGGUUUCUUCUUCGUCUGGAUCUAUUUUUAAUUCUUUUUCUUUUUCUUUUUUCGUCUGGGUCUAUUCUAAACAUGAAUAUAAAUAUGAUUUGCAGGUUUCUUCUGAUAGUCCCACGGGAAAUUGGGGAGAUCGAAAUCGAAAGGAGGGCAGCCGUUGGGGGAUCCAAAUCGACAGAGCGCAGGAGAAGAAGACAGUGUAGUAUUAAUUAAGGGUAAAAUAGAAAAAUUACAUCUAUUCUUAAUCUGUGUGAAAUAUUUUGAGAUGGAGGGAGUAUAUUUAUAACAAGUAUAUUCAUCAACUUGAUGUGUCAAAAACCUCCUGAUUUUUAUCUUUUAUUUCAAUUUUGCUUACAUUGAACAUCACUUUCUUUGUACAAAAUACAAUAUAGAAAAGUUUCUUGAAAAUUCCAGUUAUGUCAAUUGCCGUAGUUGGCUUAAGGCUGGAUCCUCCCAUGCCUACCAUACUCCAUGUCACCACCAAAAGUAACAUUGCCGUCUCCGAAUUCGUUCCACGAGUCCACCACGCAUGCAACUGAAGAACGGAGGAGCUGACAUUUCUAGGGGCACAGCUGACCUAAAUGAUGCAGGAUUCCAUCUUUUGACUUAAUCCGUGUGCAUGGUGAUAUAUUCAACUACGGUGUCAUAAGUAUCCAUGUUGAAUGAGCUUUCCGCAAAACACCUAAAGAAGAGUACAGCUGUUUGUUAGAAGUAGGUAAUAUCAAGUAACAGAACAUUGCAACCUAAUAUGUGCUUACUCCAAAUCUACUUACGUUCCUGAUAAGAAAUAAAGUAUCAAUGUGGAUCAGAUAUAUUCUUAAUAUAAGUAGUACCUGUCGCCUCAACUCCAAAUUGGAAUCUCAAGGCAAAUCUAUUAUCAAAUAAUUUAUUAAAUUCUAUUACAAUCUCAAAACCAAUAGCAUAAUGCUAAUUUCAAUGUAGUACGUUUUUUCAAAAAUAAGUAAUUUUAAUGUACUUCUUCUAAAAAAGGCCUUUUCCUUCUAUAUAAAUUAUGCAAUUUCCAUUAAUGAAUAAACACAAAACAAUCAAAAUGAAAACAAUGAAACAAAGGAUGUUUAAUUUAACUGAUUGCAACACUAUCGCACAAAGAAGGGUAAGGAAUUAUCCAUUCCUUGAGAGGACCGACUGAAAACUAACAAAACCAUUUGAAGAUGAGUGUAAUAGUUUUUGCAUAAAACACAUAAUUUUCUUCAAUGAUCUAUUUUCAAUAUUAAACUUUAUAGACUAAAACUUAUUAAUGGAAAAUAUAUAUCUAUAUAUAUAUAUAUAUAUAUAUAUAGGGCAAAGGUGCAAAAAUGUCCCCAAUAUUUACACGGAUGUCUCACUUACACUCUAAACUAAUUUUUUUUUUCCAAAAGUACCACCCUUAACGUUACAAAUUUAAGCUCAGUUGUGCCCCUCCCGUUAACGGAGAUGCCACAUAGACUAACUCUGUUAAUACAUGGACAAUUUUUGCUGACGAAGCAUGAAGAGAAAACAAAAAGGGCAAAAAAAACCUUAAUUUCAUAAUUAAACUCUAAUAAAAAAACUUUCAUAUUUUCAAAUUUAUUCUUUAAUAAAAUACAACAAAACAAAAAUAUCCAAGUUUUCUUUCAUAAACUCAUCCAGAUCUGGAUCUUCGUUUCCAAGCCAUUCGAUCUAACUCCAAACCCAGAUCUGAAGUCUGUCUCUUUCUCUCUCUAUUUCUUCCAAACUCCAUUUAUCCCAAUUUUCUCUCUCUAGAUUUCAGUCUCUGUUUCUCUCUCAAUCACAAUCUCGUCCUCCAAACUUUUCCAAAGUGCGUCUCAAGUACAAAAUCAAAACAUAAUUCGGGUAGGCGGUGAACAAAGAGCUGAGGAGAGAGAAAGGCGAGGAAGAGCUGAAGGAUGUAAAUAUCAAGGCCCAUGGAGUUUGAAAACCCAGAACAAAGUUCCACCGCCUCCAUCAUCCAUGGUCAAAGAAGGAAUUUUCUAUUUCUCUGUUUUCUCCGAAUCAAAUAUGGGUUACUCUUUUAAAAAAAAUCAAUUCAAUUCCUUCUAGUAAUCUUUGAAGAUGAAGGGGGUAAUAUUAUUUAUUUUAAUCCUUUUUUUGAACUGAUUUGAAAAUUGAUUGGAUUUAUGGAUUUGAGAUAUAUUUUGAAACUGUUUGAUUUGUGAUUGAAUAAGAAAGUGAGAGAAUGGAGUGAUUAAAAAAUAAAGUUAAGAUUUGGGUUUCAUAUGUGAUAUGUGAUUGAAAUUUAUGAUUUGGGUUUUUUUUUCAUCGUGAUGCAUAUUGAGGUUUUUAAGAAUGGUUGUUUUGGUCUGUUAUAUUGAAGCUUUUUCAGCAUAUGAUUUGUUGAUGCCCCUGUUUAGUUUGAUAUCUGAUAUGUGCUUGGAUGGUUGCUUUUUUUCAUAACUUUGCUUUGCUUUGAUUUUCAUCUGAUGGUAUUUUUUUUUUGCAAUGGAGAAGGUAUUAUUAUUAUUAUUAUUUUAUUAUUAUUAUUAUUAUUUGAGGUAUUUUAAAAAUAAAAUUUGACUAAUUUUAUAUAGUAAAUUAUAAUAAUUAUAAAUUAUAUAAAAGGUAUCAUUAAUUACAAUAUUUUUUGUAAACAAAUAUUUAAAUUGAAUUUAAAAUUACAACACUAAAUAUGUUAUGUUUUUUUUAUUUUGAAUUUUAGUAUUUUUUGUUUUGAUUAAUUUAAGUAUUUUGAUUAAAUGAUGUAAAUAUAGUUUUCUGUUUUGCACACGUCAGCAAAUGUUGCCACGUCAGCAAAAAUUAUCCACGUAUUAACAAAGUUAGUCUAUGUGGCAUCUCCGUUAACGGGAAGGGCACAAUUGAGCUUAAAUUUGUAACGUUAUUGGUACUUUUGAAGAAAAAAAAAAUUAGUUUAGGGUGUAAGUGGGACAUCCGUGUAAACAUUGGGGGCAUUUUUACAUCUUUUCCCAUAUAUAUAUAUGGAAAUAUGGAGGUACACAGCCGUGUAACUUUUAAAGUUACACGGUCUACGAUCGUAAAGUGAUUUCACUCUACGAUCGUAGAGUAGUCCCCAGAUAGUAGAGUGAAUUCACUCUACGAUCGUAGAGUAAUCCACGAUCGUAGAGUGAAUUCACAAAUCGUNNNNNNNNNNNNNNNNNNNNNNNNNNNNNNNNNNNNNNNNNNNNNNNNNNNNNNNNNNNNNNNNNNNNNNNNNNNNNNNNNNNNNNNNNNNNNNNNNNNNNNNNNNNNNNNNNNNNNNNNNNNNNNNNNNNNNNNNNNNNNNNNNNNNNNNNNNNNNNNNNNNNNNNNNNNNNNNNNNNNNNNNNNNNNNNNNNNNNNNNNNNNNNNNNNNNNNNNNNNNNNNNNNNNNNNNNNNNNNNNNNNNNNNNNNNNNNNNNNNNNNNNNNNNNNNNNNNNNNNNNNNNNNNNNNNNNNNNNNNNNNNNNNNNNNNNNNNNNNNNNNNNNNNNNNNNNNNNNNNNNNNNNNNNNNNNNNNNNNNNNNNNNNNNNNNCUCUCUCUCUCUCUCUCUCUCUCUCUCUAUAUAUAUAUAUAUAUAUAUAUAUAUAUAUAUAUAUAUAUAUAUAUAUAUAUAUUAAGCAAACCUUAAAAUUUGGGGGGAAUAUCAACCAGAAAAGAAAAAAUCUUAUUUAUUAUUUCUUUAAAAUAAUCAAAUGUAGAAGAUGGAUUCACAUAAUCAUAAUCAGCAAAAACUUGUAUAGUGAUUCUAGAACCUACUUUAUUUUAAGACUUAGGAAGGCAUUGAGUGGUAACUCUGGAAAUGUAUGAUGUUAAUAAAUGAUGAUAAUGUACCUAAGUUCAUGCCAGAACAUACUGGUCCUUUCAAGCAGAAAAGGACGCAAAGGCUCGAGAUAGUUAUCCUCCAGAUCAGAGUGUCCUGAUGAGACCUUACGCUUUUCUUCAAGGCUUGAGAUAAAAAGUGUGGUACCCACAUGGACAAUUAUAGAUGGAUCUGGAUCCCCAGUGAUCGCUUGUAGUUCCCUUCGUAUCCAUGGCUCUAUUUUCUGCAGUAUCCUCUCUUUGACACCACUUUUUGCUAUUUCACUCUAAAUACCCAAAAGAGAGAGAGAAGCAUCAAUUCUCACAGAAUAACCCAACUUUUCUGACUGAAAUGCAUCUUUAUGAACUCAAACUCAGCAGCAUAGUAUAGUAAUUCUUCAUGACAUUUGCACCAAGUCCAAAAAAAAAUGCUAGUAUUUCCUUUCAUUUUUCCCUUUUCGAUGGUGUUUUUCUUUUUUCUUUUUGGGUGGGGGGGUAUUCCCCUUUUCACACCCAUUUUUUCAAAAAAAUGUAUGAUGCCUAUAACUUUUAAUGCAUCAAAUAAAAUGCUACAACUGGGGCCACAAACAAGAGCAUAAUGAAGAAAGAAGAUGCCAAACAUGACAUGUUUAAUAUUUGUCACUAAAUUUUUUUUGACAUCAACAGGCAAAUAACUAUAUAUGCAUAUUUAAUGCCAACUUCAACAAUACAAACAUACACCCUUGUUAACAAUGCAUGAUAAAUGAUCUAAGCUUAGAUAAAGCAAAAUACACGUGGAAGGACUCUAACACCUACGCAGAGGGCCUCCAUGUUAAGAGUCCAUUGUCCAUGCAUUCUUCCGGCUUUUGAAACAAAAAUAAAAUAACCCAAUUUGCUAUGAUUCUAGCAAGUGUCGGUCACAUGCACUGUUUGACAACUAGAUAUUAUAUCUGUGGAUUAUAAAGAAAACUGAACAAACAGAAACCUGUGAAACAGUAUACCUGCUCACAAAAACUUCUCAUAGAACACGGCACAGCCUGCAAAGGUCGCUCAUAUAUGCUGCAAGAAACAGUUAUGAAUAAAUAAAUAAAAUGGAACAUCACAUAACCCAAUCAAGCUAUCAUUACUGAUAAAUAGAACAUAUUCGUAUAUUUUUUUGUUGGCCAGCGUAAUGAAAAAUUACGAGUGCACCAAAUGAAACACAAAAGUGGUUGUUUCAACGGGAACAAUAAAAAAAGUACUCCCACUUUUCCGAAAUAUAUAAGAGCAAAAUUAUUUUUAACUUCGUUCCAAGGAGCAAAUUGACUUUUGAAAAUACAAAUAUAUAAGUGACAUCCUCAUUACUCAAGAAGAUAAGCUAUCUCCUUAAUUUCUAUAUUUUAGUAAGUUACUCUUAUAUUUUGGAACAGGGAUGGUAAUAUGAUACCUGGCACGCCAUUGUAAAACUUGAUCUCUAAUAAUGUCAGGAGGAACUGAUCUAGACUGUCCAAACGAUCUCCGCCUUCGUAAUGGCCUCGUUCUCCCAUUAAGAACAUUGAAUUCUUUCUUUGAUCUUCGAAUAACUCUAAGCAAUAUUGCAAAGCGAGAAGUUAAUUUCUCAAUGUAGAAUCUUAUGAACACCUAAUGCCUGUACAAAAAAAAAGAAUAUUCUUCUUUUUAAUAUUCUUUGAAUCUUUGUCACAAAGUAGAAAAUUAGACAGCAAAGUUUAACCCUUCAUCUAUCCAAAAAGUGUCUGAACCUAAUUAACUCAAUUAAAUUCGAUUUUUGAAUGCAAUACGUAUCAUAGUUCGAAUAUAAAAUAUUUUGUGGAGGAGACACCAAUAUAGAUUUUCAAAAUUAAAAAUGUUUAAUUGCAUUAACAACUGCUAUGGACAAGGUGAAGUGCCACUAAAAUCAAUAUAUGAAUCAAACCAAAUAUUUUGGAUGAUAAAAGCUUACGAUUGAAAAGUUGGUCGACAACUUCUCCUUCCGUAUAAAUCUUCGCUAGUGACCUUUUUAAGGUUGUUGAGAGCUGGUAAUUGCAGUUUAUGGAACGAUCGAGAAGAGAGGCUGAUUUUGAAGAACCAGGAAUCGAAGAAUGAGUUACAGAGGGGGCAAUUUCGCUUCAAAUUGCUCCACUUUUGAAUACAAUCGAUACAGUAAGCGUGCAUACACACUGUGAUUACUGCUGAUCUCCGAUAAUCGAUGUGAUUCAAGCAUAUCGGACAUGAUUUUCCGACGAUUGCCGGGGCGAUUCGCUUAGAUAAGAACUUUUCGCUGUGUAAUUGUCUUCGCGACGACGAUGGCUCCAUCAAGCGAGAAAGAGAUAAACUGCGAUGACUCGUUGAGUUGGUGACUCGGAAUGUCACGAGAGCAUAGAAGGCGAAGGCGUUUCGGCCGUGUUUCCUAGUUUAGGAGUACUGUGGGUUCGAUAUAAAUUACUUAAUAUGGGCCGGCUCAAUUUAAUGGACUCGGAGCAUCUCUAAGAGUAAUAGUAAAAAAAAAAAAAAUUAAAUUGAAGUAUUGACAUAUUUAAACCUCUUAUAAUUGACACAAUCUAUAUUAUUAAAAUAGAUGAACCUGCUAAACACCUUAGAGUAGUUAUGAAAAUAUACACAUUAAAAAAUUUAACUUAAAAAAAGAAGAACCUACGAGAUAAGAGGAUUUUUAAUAUAGUUAAAUGUUAUGAUAACUAUGUAAAUAAUGUUUGUCGCUACCUGUUUUUUGUUUUUCUCUUUUUAUGCUCUAUUCGUAUCUAUUUAUCAUUGUUUAAUAUCCAAAUUUUAUACAUUUUUUUUCUAACAGUGACAGGAGGGCAAAAGUAUAAUUUCACAUUAAAGGCAAGACAUCUAAGUAAAGAUUAUCAGGCUCGGAAUGAGUAUUCGUAAUCUUCACAAUGACCUCUGAGCGACAAGCUACACAGAUGAAAAUGAAUGACUAGUCAUCAUUUACAAAAUAAUGACUUUCACCCUUUUUCUGUAUCUUUUCGAAUUUAAAAUUUAUCAAACUUGAUGUCAUUGUGUAGCUCUCGAAAAGAAUUUUUCAGAUUGAUAGGACACGUUUUCUAACUCUUGCCAGUUUGAAUGUUAUGAAUGUUUCUGCGCACAACACGACAAGACAGGUGGGCCUCACCCUAAGGUUGCUACAUGUAGACCUGCGGCAGGCCUAGGGUGCCUAUAUUAGGAGAAUUUGCUCAUUGUUUGAAAAGAAAAAGACAUUUUAAAAAGAGAAAAUGUGUUAUCUAGAAAGAGAAAUAAAGAAAGGAACAGAAAAACCUCUCUAAAUCCAAUCUAGAUCUAGUUUUUUUCUAAUCAAAUCUCUUGCCAGUAUCUGUAAUUAAGCCUUCCAUACAAGGCUUAAUGAGGAAUAAACUAUCACUCCCAAGGUUAAAGUUCUUAUCUUUGUAUUCUAUUUAGCCUAUAUCUAACUUAUUUUGUGAAUUAUUUUUUUUAAGUUCUGUUUGUUUAUAGCUAAUUUUUUAUUUGAGGCUCUCAUAACAUUCUAGAUCAUAUUUAAAGGUGUUUGGAUACUAAGUUUUGAAAUUAUGAAUAGUUAUGAAGGAUUCCUCACGGAUGGAAUCUCCUUUUAACUAGCCGAUGAUAUCAUUUUAGUAAUUUAUCGAUUCGACUCCUUUUCACAUAUUAUUUUUUAUUAAGAGUUGUUUUUAAUUAAUCUAUAGAUCACCAAAAUAUCCUAGAUUAAUAUCUAGUGAUGAAUGGAUCUUACCUUUUGGCUGGCGAGAGAUUCUUAUAAAUAAAAUCUCUUUAUAGUCAAUCAGGGAUAUAUUUUCGAGUAGAUCUCGAUUGUCUAUGAAAUCUUAGAUUUAUGGGUUUCAUUCCCUAGAUUUUAAGUUCCUUUAAUAGAUCUCGUCAAUACGCGAUAGACCGCUACAAUUUCGAUAAUAGUUAGUGAUAUUAGAUUUUCCCGAUAUAGUUAAUGAUAUAAUUAUGAUGUUAUUGAUUUGUUGGGUGAUCCAUGAAUUUAGGGUGUAAGAAAGUCAUUUCCUAAACUCUAAACUUCAUUUAUAGAUAUCGAUUGUUUAAUAUAAUUACGAAUCAUGUGAGCUUACGAAUGAAUUCAAGGCCCUUGAACAUUGAUGUGAUAAAAUAUGUAACUGCAAGUGCACAGUGUCGAAUUGAAGAACUGACAAGUACAGGUCGAACCCACAGAGACUAGAUCAAUUCUUUAAUAUAUCCUUAAUUAAUAUUUUAGGCAAAUUAGAAACAAAAAUGGUGGAGAAGAUUUAUCAACUAGAAUGUGAAAACAAUUAAUGAGAAAACAAUCUAGGAAUCUGAAUCCAUUAAAUAAUAAACAUAACAUAUAAUUCAAUCUCUUCUUUUUUUAUAACUCAAAUUAUGAUUUUGAUCUCCCUUCCCUUUAAUUUCGUAAUUUAUAAUUAAUGUAGGCAAGCAUAAACUAUGAAAAUUUAAGGAUUAACUAUAACCCAUCAAAACUUCUUUGAGCAAGCAUGGAUUAUGAAAAACUCAUAUCUUAACAAUAAUCUAUCAAAACCUCUUAAUUAAUUUAAAAUCACAUAAGAACUAUAAAACGAAGGUAUUUCAAUAACGAAACAUGAAGGCGAAAUCAAUUAAACAUAAAAACAUAAAUAAUAGAAGAGAUAAAAAAUAUUCUUACGAAUAAUUAUUUAAUUUCAUCUUCAUCCUAGAUUAAAGAAAUUAACUAGACAUGAAAAUAAAUAAAUUAACUAAAAUAAAGAAGAAGUAGAAGAUUGAAAAUAAAUAAGAAAACUUCCUUUAUUCACGAUCCUCCAACAAGCGUACAACAAGCGUACAAUGAAACGUAAUUUAAUUUACUCCUACUCCUAACCUAAAGUAAUACAAUACCUAAUAAUUCUCUCUAAAACAAGAGACCUGUUUAUAGGGAAAAUAACUUUGAACCCUAAUUUAGAUUCAUUGAACUUGGACACUUUUGAUUCUCUUUCCAUGUAGGAUUCAACUUCCUAGUAGCAAUCAACUUCUCAAAAAGAUCUUCUAGAUUGACUUUUCUUUCUCUUGUUGGAUUUGAAUUGCACACUAAGAUUGUUCCACCUCUUUCCUUCUCCUUGUAGGAUUCUUCUUGGACAUUCCUUAUAUAAAUAAGAGCAUUAAAUAUCGCUUGAUCACCAAGAUUUUGACUUUAUUGCAACAAAUAUUAAAUCCUACAAAAUAAAAUAAAAUAUAUUAAUUUAAUAAACUAAUAUAAUUAAAAGGACAAAAUUAGAGAUAAUUAAAUGUAUGAAUUACGUGUCUAUCAAACAUCGUGUUUAAUGGAAAUUGAAGUAUAUUCUCAUUAUGGAUAUAGUUAACGGUUGUAAUUUUGACGAUUCAAUCGAUGUAAAUGUAAUUCAGGCCUUAAAACGACAUCGAGGGUUUCAUCCCACAAAAAUUGAAUUCAAGGUCUCUUAAUAGUGGAUUUUAUUAUUGUGAGGUGUUUGGAAUUAUUUAGAUGACUUGCAUGCGGUUAACUCUAAUCCUAUUUUCGAUGCUUGAUUUUAUCUUUUGACAUACAAAAAUGAUUUUCGAAUGAAAUUGCAAAGAUAUUUUAAAAUCGAAUCAAACUAGGUUUUUACAUUAAUUCUAGGCUAAAAUGGGAAGUAAUAGAGAACACCGAUUCAUAUUUAGCGAAUGUUUUGUAAAACAAUAUUUUUCCUAAAUGACAUCACUAGACCUGGCAAAAUUGGCCCAAGCCUGCAGGUCUGGCCAAUCCACCAGACAAAAAGCGGGCUUUGGGCCUCAUUUUUUAGCCCACAAAAACUCGGGCCGGCAAUGGCCCAACUCGUUUGGGUUAGGCCAAAAAAUAUGUCAAAAAUUGUUCAUAAAUCAACCUAGGCCCGCGGCCCAGCCCUACCCGCCCGCCAAAAAUCGGGCUCUGGGCUUAACUUUUUUAACCCGCCAAAACUCGAGUCGUUUUGGCCCGACCUGUCAAAGGUUCGGCCCAGCCAUGACCCCGCCCGUUUGCCAGGUCUAGACACCAUAAAAUUCUUGUCAAAUGAAAGUUAAAACCAAAAUUUUCCUUUAAAACAAAACUUUCAUGCAUAGGUUCAAAGAGGCUCAAAGUUAUUUCCAAAAUAAUGCAUCCAUCAAAACUUUAAUGAUUAUAAGAGACGAAACCCUAGAUUCCACAACUUAACAUUAGGUGAUGACCCCUAAGUUAUUUACAUUUCAUGACUUGAAUUUAGAAGAUGGAUGAUACCCUAGAUUUUGACAUUAAAUGUGAAACCCCAGAUUUUAUGAAUAAAGAAUUAAUUUUCUCGAUAUAAUUUUUUAAUAUUAUGGUGUGAAUUUGAGAUAAUAUUAUAGUUGUGGGUAGUAUUUAUAAAUUUUACAAAGUAUGCAAGUUGUUAUAUUAUAUUCGAUUGGUCAGGGAAUAUUCUUUGUGUCGGAAAAUAUUCGUACGACGGUACAAUCAUUGGUGGACCCCACAACAGAAUUAUUGUCGGAUUGAGAAAACGACAAAAAUAUUUUAUUGAAAAUAACGGCGGAAGUUUUACCGUUGAUACUAUUGAACUACUCGGUAGUAAAAGUACAAUAAUACGCAUUGUUGCAUAGUAGCACACGGUAUUGAUUAUUGAUAUUUAUGUGAGAAGUCGCUCAGUUUGAUUCAAUUAUUGUUGAUUAUUAAUAUGAAUUAUUAUAGCGAUGAUGACGUUUUGUUUUAUUCGUAUUAUUAACGUAAUAAAAGAGAAACAUCUUUUUAUAUAAAAUAGAAUACUUUAUUAAAGUUAUUCUAUAAAUAGAAUAUAUUAUAUUUUAUUAUGCAUAGUGUUGCAUAGUGUUUGCAUAGUAAAAAUCUUUUUAUAUAAAUAGAAUAUAUUAUAUUUUAUUUAAAAGAUUUUUUCUUUAAAUAUGGACCGUCAGAUUAAAAUAAAUCAAUCUAGACCAUUCAUGGAUUAGUUACUAUGCAUUCCAUUUUCCUAUAAAUAGAAGCUCAUUCCUUCAUUAUUUUCUUACGAAUUCACUGAACUCUAGAGAGAGAAACUAUAGAGAGAGACCAUAGAGAGAUAAAAGAAAAGUUUUCUGCUACUUCACUACUCUUAUAUCCAGUUCUUUUACGGUAAGGGGUGUUAUUCUUUUAUAUUCAUGAAGAGAACUUCUGUUAUUCCAUUCUUUAUUAUUCUGUUGGAAUAACCUGUAAAAGUGGCAUACCCUAUACAUGACCUGUAUACGUGGCAUACCCUAUACUUGGUGAAAUCCUUAUGUUAUUUCAUUCUUAUUUAUUCUAUUGGAAUAACCUGUAUACGCGGAAUACCCUAUACUUAGUGACAUUAUUUUAUUAUUCCGCAUUUACUAUUCUAUCGAAAUAUCCUAUCUGUGCUAUACGCCGGACCUGGUUCCAUUUUAUUAUUCCGCAUUUACUAUUCUGUCAAAAUAUCCUGUCUGUGCUAUACGCCGGACCUGGUUCAAUUUUAUUAUUCCACAUUUACUAUUUUGUUAGAAUAUCCUGUCUGUGCUAUACGCUGGACCUGGUUCCAUUUUACUAUUCCGUCUUUAUAUUUCUGUCAGAAUAUCCUGUCUGUGCUAUACGCCGGACCUGGUUCCAUCAUUUAUUAUUCCGUAUUUAUUAUUCUGUUGGAACAUCCUGUCGGUGUGAAUUUCACCUGACCUGGUUCUGUUAUUAUUAUUCUGUUGGAAUAACAUCUCUGUACGGUCUCUAUCGCAUGCAUGGUGAUAUCUUUUGUUAUUCCAUUCGGUAUUAUACUCAGUUGAUUAAAAUUUUGACUUCUAUACUCCAUGAAAUUAGUGGAAUAUCCUUGAUAUUUGCGCUUCAUCCAAUAUUUUUCAUGGAAAUAUUCUUCUGAGCAUUCUUGAAUUUUACUUUACAAAGAAGUAUCAUGUUGACAAUUUGGACGUUAUUAGUUCCUGAAUAACUUAAUUCUUGAACUUGUUUUAUUGAAUUCUUAUAUCAUUGUCAUCAUCCUCAUGUUUAUAUUUUUUUUAAAAGUCAUCUAUGGCCUGUAGAGCAUGGAUGGACUUGGUAUGAUUAUGACCAGGGAUUAUUCGGUGUAAUCAUGACCGUAAUGUUGUAAAUGAUGUGAAAAUUAAAAGUCCUCAUUGGCCGUAGUGCAUUGAUGGACAGUUUUUGGUUUGAUUAUGGCUAUGGAUUCUCUUCGGCCAAGGGAGCAAAGAUGAAUUGUUUUAUAGCAUGAUCAGGACCGUUGAUGAAAACACGAUUAUCUUUGGCCCGUAGUGCAUGGAUAAUUCGUGGUUGUGAUACUAAAGAAUAUCCUUGGCCUGUAGUGCAGGGAUGAUUUGAUGAUGUGGAUUAUUUAUUGAGCUGAGUCUCAGCGAUAAAAGUGAUGAAAAACUUUUUAAAUCAUAAAAGAUAGUAGAUUUUAUUCUCUACUUGACUCUUUUAAUGGAUUGCUUGUUCCGCUGCAGUUAAACUUGAUGUCUAUUGUAUUUUAUCAGUUUAACAUUGUUGAAGACUAAUGAUAAUUUAUUCUGCAUUAUCUUAGUCAUAAUAUUUCUUACUGGGCUAGUUGAGCUCACCCUUUCUUUCACUGUUCUCUUCAGGAAAUGAGAAUAUAGCUGAAACGAGUCGGGGAACGGGGUGACGGUCCAGAUGAUAGUAUUAGUAGUCCUCACUAUUCUGUUAAAUAGUGUGACCAUAAAUGUAAUGAGGACUGAAUUUGAGUUUGUAUACUGUCUAGAUGACAAUAUACGUAUUAAAACUCUUAGAUUAUUUUUUGUCAUAUUUUACACGACAGCUGUAUUAUUAGUCUGUAUUUUGUAUUUUUGUACCAUUUAUCUGGCGACUCAAGAUGGUUGAUGAAUACCUAAUUUUGGGGGCGUCACAGUUGGUAUCAAAGCUUAGGGAUAUGAUCCCUGGCUAAGAUUUGAGGCAAGAACUAGGAGGGGAGAGACGGAAAAUUCCUUCGCUAGUAUGACCUACCUAAGUUUAUGUGGUAUUUAAUUGGUCGGUCAGAGUAUAGGGAUAAUAUAUGAUAUGUUAUUAACCCUUGUUUUGUGACAGUGUUUGAAAAUGGCAUCUGAAAAGGUUGAGAUAAGCAAUGGAUCAAAAUAAUAUGACCGUAUUGUAGUACGAGGCUAAGUUUGCGGAGUUAUCCCGGUUUGCAUCCCAUUUAGUCGAUAAUGAGGAGCGAAUGACGCGAAUGUUCUAAGAGGUUUGAAACCCGAUAUACGUCAAUACCUCAUUUCUCAUAAACUUUGUUUAUAUUCAGAUGUUGUGAAUAUGGCUCAGUUAUUGGAGCGCGAUAAUGAGUCAGCACAACCAAAAGACAACGACCAACAACACAAUAAUAAUCAUACUGGUGGCAACGGAUAUCGGAACAAUGAUAACCAUCGUGGGGGAAAUUAUCAUGCCAAGAAUGGUAACCACUUCGGUGGUAAUCAUGGCAAAGAUAAUAGAAGUAGAAAUUACAAGAGGAGAAGGUCAUUUAGACCGAUUUUGUCGUGCACCAAAGUCAAGUCCAGCUGGGACGGUGGCACCAAAGGCGGAUACGGAUAAAACAAAGUCGUUGGUUUUAGGAAGAGCAUUUUUCAUGACUUCUCAAAAAGUGAGGAAACCGAAUGAAGUUAGCACAGGUUAGUUAAUUAUAAAUUCUUGCGAAGUCUAUACCUUAUUAGAUAUCGGUUCUACCCAUUAUUUUAUCUUUCUUGCUUGCGUUCAACGUUUAAAUUUGACUCCGAAGAAGUUAGACUUUGACUUAUUGGUUGAAACUUCGUCAGUAGGAGCCUUCGUUACCUCCACUGUUUAUAAAUCUUGUUGAUUCAAAUCGACAUUUUCACGUUACCUGUCGAUCUUAUCUCUUUGAAAAUACUUGCAUUUGAUAUGAUUUUUUUUAAAACGAUUGGUUAACUACUCAUCAUACUUUUUGUAAAGGUUGUUAGCUUUCAUACUCUUUACCAACCUGUUAUGCGAAUUCAAAGUAAUCAAACCACUAAAGUCAAUCAUUGUCAUAUAAAGCCAUAAGUAAUGAACCCGAUCUUUUCGUUGUUGACUUCCUUGUGUGGAAUGCACCGAAGCCAGACUUUCUGUAGGCGACAUCGUGAAUGAAGAUGGCAAGUUGAUAGGUAUCAUUGUGAGGUACUAUCCAGGUUAAGGGAUAGAAGUCACAGUUGGUAUUAAUGUGAUGUACUAUCCAAGUCUUGGAUGAAGGUCACAGUUUUGAAUGAUAAUUCUAUCAUUAAUAAAUUUCUUGACGUAUUCUUGAAGACUUCUUGGCCUACCCCAGAGCGUGAAAUCGAAUUUUGUACUGACCCCAGUACAAAACCCAUUUCUUAAACCCUCAAAUAUAUCUUUACUUAAAACAAACGUAUAAUGCGCCAAAGACGUUGGCUCGAGCUGUUGAAGAUUACGAUCGUACCAUUCAAUACCAUUGUGGGAAAGCGAACGUGGUAGCUGACGUGUUGAGUAGAAGAUCGUAUGCGUUUACAAGUGUGAAUAUACGAACCCACGUGACGAUAACGAAUAGACGAGUAGAAUCAACUUUAAUCGAUAAAGUUAAAGCCGCUCAAGCUACACACCCGGAGCUGAUGAACACGAAGAAGAAGGUUCAAGAGGGCGUUAUUUUAAAUAGCAAGAGUUGCUGAAAUCUCAACCCUCGAUUUAAUUGGCCCAUUUGAAAUCCUCAAUCGAGUAGGAACUGUGGCAUAUAGACUCGUUUUACCGCCAAAUAUGUUGUGUGUUCAUAACGUUUUUAACGUAUCGAUGUUACGUAAAUAUAUGGACGACCCGAACCACAUUAUUAAUUUAGAACCGGACGAGAUAGCGAAUGAUUUAACGUUUGAGGAGAUACGUGUUAAAAUCUUGAAUAAGAAGAAUCAUAUUCAACACUCAAAGGUUAUAUACCUCAAGAGUUAGAAUCUAAAAUGAAGUCAAGGUAUCCUCACCUGUUCGGCAUACCAGGUACGUACGUAAAUUUUGAGGGCGAAAUUCCAUAAGGAGGGGAGAUUGUGAAACCCCAGAUUUUAUGAAUAAAGAAUUAAUUUUCUCGAAAUAAUUUUUUAAUAUUAUGGUGUGAAUUUGAGAUAAUAUUAUAGUUGUGGGUAGUAUUUAUAAAUUUUGCAAAGUAUGCAAGUUAUUAUAUUAUAUUCGAUUGGUCAGGGAAUAUUCUUUGUGUCGGAAAAUAUUCGUACGACGGUACAAUCAUUAGUAGACUCCACAACGAAAUUAUUGUCGGAUUGAGAAAACGACAAAAAUAUUUUAUUGAAAAUAACGACGGAAGUUUUACCGUUGAUACUGUUGAACUACUCAGUAGUAAAAGUAUAAUAAUACCCGUUGUUGCAUAGUAGCACACGGUAUUGAUUAUUGAUAUUUAUGUGAGAAGUCGCUCAGUUUGAUUCAAUUAUUGUCGAUUAUUAAUAUGAAUUAUUAUAGUUAUGAUGACGUUUUGUUUUAUUCGUAUUAUUAACGUAAUAAAAGAGAAACAUCCUUUUAUAUAAAACAGAAUACUUUAUUAAAGUUAUUCUAUAAAUAGAAUAUAUUAUAUUUUAUUUAAAAGAUUUUUCUUUAAAUAUGGACCGUCAGAUUAAAGUAAAUUAAUCUGGACCGUUCAUGAGUUAGUUACUAUGCAUUCUAUUUUUCUAUAAGUAGAAGCUCAUUCCUUCAUUAUUUUCUUACGAAUUCACUGAACUCUAGAGAAAGAAGCUAUAGAGAGAGACUAUAGAGAGAUAGAAGAAAAGUUUUCUGCUACUUCACUACUCUUAUAUCCAGUUUUUUUACGGUAAGGGAUAUUAUUCUUUUAUAUUCAUGAAGAGAACUUCUGUUAUUCCAUUCUUUAUUAUUCUGUUGGAAUAACUUGUAAAAGUGGCAUACCCUAUACAUGACCUGUAUACGCGGCAUACCCUAUACUUGGUGAAAUCUUUAUGUUAUUUCAUUCUUAUUUAUUCUGUUGGAAUAACCUGUAUACGCGGAAUACCCUAUACUUGGUGACAUUCUUUUAUUAUUCCACAUUUACUAUUCUGUCGGAAUAUCCUGUCUGUGCUAUACGCCGGACCUGGUUCCAUUUUAUCCGCAUUUACUAUUCUGUCAAAAUAUCCUGUCUGUGCUAUUCGUCGGACCUGGUUCCAUUUUGUUAUUCUGCAUUUACUAUUCUGUCGGAAUAUCCUGUCUGUGCUAUACGCCGGACCUGGUUCCAUUUUACUAUUCUGUCUUUAUAUUUCUGUCGGAAUAUCUUGUCUGUGCUAUACGCCGGACUUGGUUCCAUCAUUUAUUAUUCCGCAUUUAUUAUUCUGUUGGAACAUCCUAUCGGUGUGAAUUUCACCUGACCUGGUUUCGUUAUUAUUAUUCUGUUGGAAUAACCUGUCUGUGCGGUCUCUAUCGCAUGCAUGGUGAUAUCUUUUGUUAUUUCAUUCGGUAUUAUACUCAGUUGAUUAAAAUUUUGACUUCUAUACUCCAUGAAAUUAGUGGAAUAUCCUUGAUAUUUGCGCUUCAUCCAGUAUUUUUCAUGGAAAUAUUCUUCUGAGCAUUCUUGAAUUUUACUCUACAAAGAAGUAUCAUGUUGACAAUUUGGACGUUAUUAAUUCCUGAAUAAAUUAAUUCUUGAACUUGUUUUAUUGAAUUCUUAUAUCAUUGUCAUCAUCCUCAUAUUUAUAUUUUGUUGAAAGUCAUCUGUGGCCUGUAGUGCAUAGAUGGACUUGGUAUGAUUAUGACCAGGGAUUAUUCGGUGUAAUCAUGACCAUAAUGUUGCAAAUGAUGUGAAAAUUAAAAGUCCUCAUUGGCCGUAGUGCAUUGAUGGACAGUUUUUGGUAUGAUUAUGGCUAUGGAUUCUCUUCGGCCAAGGGAGCAAAGAUGAAUUGUUUUAUGACAUGAUCAGGAUCGUUGAUGAAAACACGAUUAUCUUUGGCCGUAGUGCAUGGAUAAUUCGUGGUCGUGAUACUAAAGAAUAUCUUUGGCCUGUAGUGCAAGGAUAAUUUAAUGAUGUGGAUUAUUUUAUUGAGUUGAGUCUCAGCGAUAAAAGUGAUGAAAAACUUUUUAAAUCAUAAAAGAUAGUAGAUUCUAUUCUCUACUUGACUCUUUUAAUGGAUUGCUUGUUCCGAUGCAGUUAAACUUAAUGUUUAUUGUAUUUUAUCAGUUUAACACUGUUUAAGGCUAAUGAUAAUUGAUUCUGUAUUAUCUUAGUCAUAAUAUUUUUUACUGGGCUAGUUGAGCUCAUCCUUUCUUUCACUGUUCUCUUCAGGAAAUAAGAAUAUAGCUGAAACGAGUUGGGGAACGGGGUGAUGGUCCAGAUGAUAGUAUUAGUAGUCCUCAUAAUUCUUUUAAAUAGUGUGACCAUAAAUGUAAUGAGGACUGAAUUUGAGUUUGUAUACUGUCUAGAUGACAAUAUACGUAUUAAAACUCUUAGAUUAUGUUUUGUCGUAUUUUACACGACAGCUGUAUUAUUAGUUUGUAUUUUGUAUUUUUGUACCAAUUAUCUGGCGACUCAAGAUGGGUGAUGAAUACACUAUUUUGGGGGCAUCACAUUAAAUACAUAGGAGAUGAUAACUUGUGUUUCACGAUUCAAUCCAAAUUGGCUAUAAGAGAUGAUACCCUUGAAGUUUCCAAUGACACAAUUCAUAUAGGCACAUAACACAAACACACACUUAAUAUUUUAAGAAAAACAUUAUGAAAACGAUAAUCGUGUUUCACAGAAGUCGUGGGGUGCCUAAUAUUUUCCCCUCGCUUAAGUAAAUCUCCGGUUGCGGAUCAAUUUUAGGGAGUCACCUGAUGGAUCAUCUCGAUUAUUAAAACCUAAAAAUUCGAAUGAGUUGGUAUAUUCAUUUAAAUCUUUACCAAUUAGUUGACUGUUUAAUUGCCCCCCAUUAAAAUCAAAUUUUCAAACUCGAUCGAUAUUUAUGUAAGUUUUUUUUCUUUCUAAAAUCACUCUUAAAUUUUGUGAUCCCUAAUAAAAAAAAUAAAAAUAAAAAUCCGACGUCGACAGCUUCUAUAAAAUUUAAUAUUUGAUAUUUCAAGUAAAAUUCUAAUAUUUUUUUUUACUUACACACAAUAAACAAGAAAUAAAUUGUAAGACCCCAACUUAUUAUGAAUAAAAUUAACUUUUCUCUAUUUAUUAUCUUGAAAUAAUAAGGAGUUAAUUUGAUAUAAUACUUUGGUUAUGGGUGAAAUGUGCAAAUUUUACAAAAUAAGCAAGUGGUUAUAAAAUAUUCCUUUUGUCGGGGAAUAUUCGUUUGGUCGUGGAAUAUUCUUUUUGUCGGGAAUAUCCGUACGACGGCGCAGUCAUUUGUGGGCCCCAUAACAGAAUAACUGUCGGAUGAAGAAAAUGACAAAUUUGAGUUGUUACAAAUAACGGCGUAAUCGUUACCGUUAACACUGCUGGAAUACCCGGUGGUUAAAAUACAGUAAUACGCGUAAUAGCACAGUAGCACACGAUAUUGCACAGUAUUAUUGAAUUAUUGAUCCUUACGUAAGAAGGCACUACUCAAUAAUUGUUACAGUAGUUACUGUUUAAUAUUUUAUUUUAUUGAUUCAAUAAUUGCUACAUUGAUAGAUUAUAUUAUUGUUGUUUUAAUAAAUGUCACUGCAUUAUAUUUUCCAUUAUUAUAUCAAUAAUUCAUAGUAUUUGAAUAAUAUUAUUAGAUAGCAUUAUUGACAAUGUCUAGAAAGUUCUGUCAAGGAGAGGUUAGGUCAUUUAAUUGCGUGCCAGUAAGGAGAAAUUCUUAUUGGAAAUUUUUUCCUGUUGAAGACUAACGAUAAUUUAUUGUAUAUUAUCUUAGUCAUAAUAUUCUUUAUUGGGCUAGUUGAGCUCACCCUUUUCCUUUUUGUUCCAUUUUUCUUCUCAGGAGGUGAGAACAUAGCAGGAUCGAGUCGGGGUAUGGAGUGAUGUUUCUAGAAAAAUGUUUUAGCAGUCCUCACUAUUUUUAUAAAAUAGUGUUUGAAUAAUUGUAAUGAGGACUUAUUUGAGAUAUUGUCUAGAAGACAAUAUUUGUAUUUAAACUUACAGUAUGUAUUGUCGUAUUUCACACGACAUUUGUAUUAUUGAAGUUGUAGUUUGCUUUAUGUACCAUGUAUUUGACGACUCAGAAUGGGUGAUGUAUACCUAUUUUGGGGGUAUCACAGUUGGUAUCAGAGCUUAGGGAUAUGGUCUCUGGCGGAGAUCGAGGAAUAGAACUAGGAGGGGAGAGUGUAGUAAAUGCUUCACUAGUGUGUCCUACCUAAGCUUAUUUGUUGGUCGGUCAUAAUAUAGGGAUAUUAUGUGAUAUAUUAAUUUCUUUAAUUAACCCCUGUUUUAUGGCAACUUUUAAGAAUGGCAGCUGAGAACGUCAAGAAUGGAGUGUGUGAGACUGUGGAACAAUCUUUGAUUACCAACCAAGAGAACGUGCAAUAGGAAGGCAAUAUUCCUCUUGUAAACAACACCACUGAUCAAACGAUGAAUGAUGCGAUGUUUAGAAGCUUUUUGCAAUUCAUGCAAAAUCAGACGAGGGAGAUUCGUGUACAAAAUACGGGUGGAAAUGAUAGCAACAUGAGGUCUGUCACAGCCAAGCAGUUCAAGGAGUUGGGACCACCAGAUUUCUGGGGAAAGCCGGAUCCGAUUAAGGCAAAGACGUGGGUCAAGUAGAUGACCAAAAUAUUCGAUGUCUUGGGAUGCACGGAGGAACAGAAGUUUCCAUUCGCCACCUUUAUAUUCCGUGGUGAAGCAAAUUACUGGUGGGAGUCUGUAAAGCGUACCCAGCCAUCCGCACUCAACAUGUCUUGGGAAAAAUUUCAAAAACUGUUCAAUGACAAGUACUUUCCUGAAAGUAUUCGUCAUAUGAAGGAGGUAGAGUUUAUUAGACUAGAACAGAACAACAUGACGGUGUCUCAGUACGAGGCAAAGUUCGCGGAGUUAUCCAGGUUUGCACCUCAUUUGGUAGAAAAUAAGGAACGUAUGACGCGGAUGUUUCUGAGAGGUCUAAAACCCGAGAUUCGAUAAUAUCUUAUCUCUCAUAAAUUUUCUUUAUAUUCAGAUGUUGUAAACAGGGCUCAAUUAUUAGAGCGUGAUAACGAGUAUAUUCAACCGAGGGACCACAACCAGGGUCAUACCGGUGACAGCAGUCAUCAGAACGAUGAUAACCAGCGAGGAAGGAAGAAUACGGACAAAAGCGGUAACCAUUCGGGUGGUCAUCGUGGCCAUGAUAAUAGGAGAGGUGAGUCAAGUGGAAAUUUCAAAAAGAGGAAAUUCAACAAAGACGGGAAGACAUAAGCAGCAGCACCAGCACCAACAACAAAUUCUAGGGGAGGAGAACGACCACCAAUUAGAUGCUACAGAUGCGGAGAAGAGGGACACAUAAGUCCAAACUGUUCACAGCCUUCCAAGGUGUGUUUCAAUUAUGGAAAAGACGGUCACAUAGCCCGAUUUUGUCCGAUAGCAAAGCCCAAUCCAAUUGGGACGGCGGCACCAAAGGCGACUACGGACAAAACAAAGUCGGUGGUUCAAGGAAGGGCGUUUGUCGUGACUGGCCAAAACACGAGAAACCCAAACGAGGUGAUCACGGGUAAACUAAUCUUGAACUCUUGCGAAGUUUAUACCUUACUAGAUACCGGUUCUACCCAUUCUUUUAUCUCUCCUGCUUAUGCUCAACGUUUAAACUUGACUCUGGAGAAAUUGGACUUUAACUUAUCUGUUGAAACUCCAUUGGGUGAAACUUUUGUUACAUCUACAGUUUAUAAAUCUUGCUUGAUCCAAGUUGACACAAUCACAUUACUUAUUGAUCUUAUCUCUUUAAAGAUACUUGCAUUUGAUGUGAUUUUAGAGAUUGAUUGGUUAACCACUCAUCAUGCCAAAAUUGAUUAUUUUUGUAAGGUUGUUAGUUUUCAUAUUCCUAACCAACCUGUUAUACGAAUUCAAGACACUAAACCACUAAAAUCAGUCACUGUCAUAUCAAGCCAUAAAGCUAUUCGUUUAUUGAAAAAUGGAUGUCAAGCUUUCUUAGCCCAUAUUAUGGACUUGAACAAAAACACGUCAGAUUUGAAUAAUAUUCCUGUUGUUAGUGAAUUUCCUGACGUAUUUCCUGAAGAACUUCCCGGUCUACCCCCAGAACGUGAAGUUGAAUUCGUUAUUGAUCUUGAACCGGGUACAAAACCCAUUUCUAAAACCCCAUAUCGAAUGGCUCCUACUGAACUUCAGGAGUUAAAAGUCCAACUACAGUAAUUGUUAGACAUCGGUUUCAUUCGUCCUAGUACAUCUCAUUGGGGUGCUCCUGUAUGCGACUUUGUAUUAACUACCGAGAAUUAAACCAUGUCACCAUCAAGAAUAGGUAUCCUCUACCUCGCAUUGAUGACCUGUUCGACCAGUUGCAAGGAGCACAAUUCUUUUCAAAGAUCGAUCUUCGUUCUGGAUAUCAUCAGCUGAAGAUUAAAACUGAGGAUAUUCCAAAGACUACCUUCAGAACUCGGUACGGGCAUUAUGAAUUCUUAGUCAUGUCUUUUGGAUUGACUAAUGCUCCUGCUGCUUUCAUGGAUAUGAUGAACCGCAUAUUCAAAGAAUAUUUGGAUCAGUUCGUUGUUGUCUUUAUUGAUGACAUCUUCAUAUAUUCCAAAAGCUGUGAAGAUCAUGAGCACCAUUUGAUGCUGGUACUUCAAAGACUUCGUGACAACAAGCUAUAUGUCAAGUUGAAGAAAUGCGAGUUCUGGCUUAAGGAAGUAACAUUCCUUGGGCACUUGGUGUCAAAACAUGGAGUAUCUGUUGACCUGGCAAAGAUUGAAGCAAUCCAAAGUUGGGAGCAGCCGAAGUCGGUGACCGAAGUGCAUAGCUUUCUAGGCUUAGCUGGUUAUUAUCGAAGAUUCAUGGAAGGAUUUUCUCGAAUCGCUACUCCGUUAACUCAGCUGACUCGGAAAGAUGCAAAAUUCGUAUGGAGCGAGGAAUGCGAGAAGAGUUUCCAAGAGCUCAAGAGGAGACUCAUUUCGGCACCUGUUCUGAUAAUACCAUCUGGUUUGGAUGGAUUUGUUAUCUACAGUGAUGCUUCAGGCAAAGGGUUAGGAUGUGUUCUCAUGCAACAUGGGAAAGUCAUAGCCUAUGCCUCGCAACAACUCAAAGAAUAUGAGAAGAAUUAUCCUACUCAUGAUCUAGAGCUGGCAGCAGUCGUUUUUGCGUUGAAAAUCUGGAGACACUGCUUGUAUGGGGAGAAAGUGGAGAUUUAUACGGAUCAUAAAAGCCUCAAAUAUUUCUUCACCCAAAAGGAACUCAACAUGCUACAACGACGUUGGCUUGAGUUGUUGAAGGAUUACGACCAUAACAUUCAAUAUCAUCCUGGAAAAACAAAUGUUGUAGCUGACGCAUUGAGUAGAAGAUCAUAUGCGGGUACGAGUGCAAUGUUGUUAACACAAAGGCCCAUUUUUAACGACUUACAAAGGAUGAAGAUAGAGUUAAAGGCUCCAAGUACCCAUGUGAUGAUAUCAAACAUACGAGUAGAACUGACUUUAAUCAAUAAAGUUAAAGCUGCUCAAGCUACGGACCUGGGGCUGAUGCGUAUGAAGAAGAAAGUGCAAGAAGGUGUUAUUCCAGAAGCAGGAAUCGAUGAAGAAGGAAUACUUCAAGUCAACUCCAGACUUUGCGUAUGACUACAGAAAAGAUUCAAAUGAUCCGGCAACGUAUAAAGACCUCGCAAGAUCGACAAAAGAGUUAUGCUGAUCUUCAUCGAAAGGAUGUGAAAUUUAAUAUUAGAGAUCAUGUAUUGUUAGGUGUUGUUCCAUGGAAGGGAGUUAUAAGAUUUGUAAAGAGAGGAAAGCUCAAUCCAAGAUUUGUUGGUCCAUUUGAGAUUCUUGACCGAAUAGGAAAUGUGGCCUAUAGACUCGUGUUACCUCCAAGCAUGUCUCGUGUUCAUAAUGUUUUCCAUAUAUCUAUGCUUCGUAAAUAUGUGAAAGACCCAAACCACAUUAUUGUGUUAGAACCAGACGAGAUAGCCGAAGAUUUAACGUACGAGGAGGUACCUGUUAAGAUCUUGGAUAGAAAAGAGCAUGUCCUACGCACCAAGGUUAUACCACAAGUUAAGGUUUUGUGGAGAAACUAUGCUAUUAAAGAAAUAACCUGGGAGUUGGAAUCGGAAAUGAAAGCGAGGUACCCUCAUCUGUUCGAAACAACAGGUACGUACGUCAAUUUUGAGGACGAAAUUUCAUAAGGUGGGGAGGUUGUAAGACCCCAACUUAUUAUGAAUAAAAUUAACUUUUCUCUAUUUAUUAUCUUGAAAUAAUAAGGAGUUAAUUUGAUAUAAUACUUUGGUUAUGGGUGAAAUGUGCAAAUUUUACAAAAUAAGCAAGUGGUUAUAAAAUAUUCCUUUUGUCGGGGAAUAUUCGUUUGGUCGUGGAAUAUUCUUUUUGUCGGGAAUAUCCGUACGACAGCGCAGUCAUUUGUGGGCCCCAUAACAGAAUAACUGUCGGAUGAAGAAAAUGACAAAUUUGAUUUGUUAUAAAUAACGGCGUAAUCGUUACCGUUAACACUGCUGGAAUACCCGAUGGUUAAAAUACAGUAAUACGCGUAAUGACACAGUAGCACACGGUAUUGCACAAUAUUAUUGAAUUAUUGAUCCUUACGUAAGAAGGCACUACUCAAUAAUUGUUACAGUAGUUACAGUUUAAUAUUUUAUUUUAUUGAUUCAAUAAUUGCUACAUUGAUAGAUUAUAUUAUUGUUGUUUCAAUAAUUGUCACUGCAUUAUAUUUUCUAUUAUUAGAUCAAUAAUUCAUAUUAUUUGAAUAAUAUUAUUAGAUAGCAUUAUUGACAAUGUCUAGAAAGUUCUGUCAAGGAGAGGUUAGGUCAUUUAAUUGCGCGCCAGUAAGGAGAAAUCCUUAUUGGAAAGCCCCUUCUUUCCUGGGAACGGCCUGGUUGUCAUAAUUGUGAUUCUAUAAUAUUAUUUGUGAAUAAUUAAUUAUUGAUUCAUAUGAUAAGGAAAUUUUUAUUUUAUAUAAAUGAUGGAUUUAUUUAUUUUAUGUGAUUAUAAUUGAAGGAGUUAAUGUUGAGGUAUUUUAUCUGUAUUUUUGUCGGAAUGGAGGUAUUAAAAAUCAAAUCAGUAUUUUUACGAUAUAUUGUGUGAGUUAUAAUUUUUAAUCUGACCGUUGGAUCGUUGUGAUUUUUGGAUAUGUUAUAUAUAUAAGUUGGGUAUAUGUCCACAGAUUUUGAACUGUUAAAAAUGAAUGAAUGAUUUGUUAUGAAAUUUAAGAAGUGACUGCUUCGAAAAUUAGGGUUAUAAAUGAUUUUGGUAGAAAAUUCUAGAAUUGAGUGGGCCCCACUUGUGGUUGGUGAAAAAAUAUGCUGAAUUUUAUUUCAAAUGUGGUGGGUGGCAAUAAUAGCAUGUAAAGUCAUCAGGUAGCAGGUCAAGUCUGCUUCGGCGGGCUAACAUUUUUCUAUAAAUAGAGGGAAAAGUUAGAAUUGAAAAUUACAC
rnacentral:lncRNA from 1 species